rnacentral:rRNA from 1 species
AUACGGAGGGUGCAAGCGUUAUUCGGAAUCAUUGGGCGUAAAGGGCGCGUAGGCGGCUUUGUAAGUCAGAUGUGAAAGCCCGGGGCUUAACCCCGGAAGUGCAUUUGAAACUACAAGGCUUGAGUAUGGGAGAGGAGAGCGGAAUUCCUGGUGUAGAGGUGAAAUUCGUAGAUAUCAGGAGGAACACCGGUGGCGAAGGCGGCUCUCUGGACCAAUACUGACGCUGAGGCGCGAAGGCGUGGGGAUCAAACAGGAUUAGAUACCCUGGUAGUCCACGCAGUAAACGGUGAACACUAGGUGUAGCGGGUAUUUACCCCUGCUGCGCCGCAGCUAACGCAUUAAGUGUUCCGCCUGGGAAGUACGGUCUCAAGAUUAAA